ACGAACGCUGGCGGCGUGCUUAACCCAUGCAAGUCGAACGGAAAGGCCCUGCUUGCCGGGUACUCGAGUGGCGAACGGGUGAGUAACACGUGGGUGAUCUGCCCUGCACUUCGGGAUAAGCCUGGGAAACUGGGUCUAAUACCGGAUAGGAGCCAUUUUUAGUGUGAUGGUUGGAAAGUUUUUUUCGGUGUAGGAUGAGCUCGCGGCCUAUCAGCUUGUUGGUGGGGUAAUGGCCUACCAAGGCGGCGACGGGUAGCCGGCCUGAGAGUGUGGACGGCCACAUUGGGACUGAGAUUCGGACCAGGCUCCUACGGGAGGGAGUAGUGGGGAAGAUUGCGCAAUGGGCACAAGCCUGAUGCAGCGACGCCGAGUGGGGGAUGACGGCCUUCGGGUUGUAAACUCCUUUCGCUAGGGGCGAGGCUUUUUGUGACGGUACCUGGAUAAGAAGCACCGGCUAACUACGUG
rnacentral:rRNA from 1 species